CCCGAGGCGGCGGCGCGCGGCGUGAGAUCAUUCCCCUCUUACGGCCAGUCCCCUUCCCCUCUCCCCUCCGCGAGCGAUCGAAACCUAAUGGCGCUCUUUCACUAGCGGUGGCAGUGGACAUCGCCCAAUUACUGGUGGCUCCUCUCUCCCCCUUCCAUGCAGGUUACGCAGGCCCGAGAACAAUGACGCCGUCUGGUGGUGGUUUCAUUGAGAUGGAGACAUGGAGUCUACAAACAAAAUCGAUAUCGGUGAUUGAUUCAUGCUGUUUUGGUUUUGUUCUCAUUGUGGUUGCAGCAUCUCUCAACCACACCGUGUAUAUCUAGAGGGGCGCUUCACCAAGGACGACGACCGGCGUCAAGAUAUUCAUCACUCGCCUUACGCCGUUAUCUUGCAUCACCUCCACUUAUGUACGCACCGACGGGGCCAUCUCACUACCAGAUUCCCCGUCGACCUGAGUACUGGAUCUGGGCUUGCCUCUCCCAUGGACAUGAUUCCCCAGGGAAAGAGGUGAUUCACGCAUGUCCCCAUUCUCCAACACAACAACACCAUCUUCCUGGUUGUGUCCGGAACAAUUGUAUUUCCAUUCUUGCAAUGGAAGGGGUACGCCAGGUUCAAAAACAAAAACACAACAACACCAACACUGUAGUCUUGAUCUCCCCCCGGCCCGCCCCAAGUAUGUGAUGAUUGGUUGACGCUGCGAUGGACUUCUGUGCUGCUUGGAUUGUCCCAAGCUAACGGAUGAACACUCUGCAAUUCGUUCUUGCCUGUGGCCCUGUGCCUGGAGGACUUCCCUUCAGAAUUUCAGAUUAUGCACUUGAACAAGAUUAUUUUGAUUGCAGCUAAAGCUACAUUAUUGGGUUCUCUAUCCUUGAAGAAGCUUCAGACCUUCCAUGAAUCAUUGAACUACUAUGGAUACCUCUUCCUUAGCACAGGUAAACUAUUAUGUAUUUAUAUAUACAUGCUCAGGUUUCAUACAACUAUCGUACCGAUCAGUAAUGCCAAAGGGUGUUAUGCCUCAUAAAAUCCAUAUAAGGAACACUGCUUGGAUAAUUUUGAGUAUACCCUCUGUUUCUACUUCCUCUCUGAAGAUUUAUCGUUAGCCUGCUUCUUCCGAUGUGCGUGGCUAGCAACACUUUCUUCCAGUAAUCUUGAAGCAAAGCACAUGGGUUAUGUAGAAACCCAUUAGUCUACAGAUCCUCGUGAAAAGUAUUAUCCUGCCAAAGGAUACAUAAAUUUUUCUUUGUAUAACCAAUAAAUAGAGCUGCUAAGCUGCUAUUAUUGGCCCGAAAACAAACAGGAUAUAUUCUUAUCCUUAUUGUUUGAAACACUA